UUCUUUAAUAUUUAUGUUUUGUAUUAAUAACUAACUAUUGUUUUUUUACAGUUUCGUAGGCGAUUUUCUGGUUCCGGAGGAUUGUUAGCGGGUUCUUCUGGAGCACCGCCACCGCCGCCACCACCACCUUCUCGUCUUCCGGAACCGGUGGACGCUCCUCCACUUUUCCCAGAGUGUGAUAUAACUCUGGAGGAGGUAGAGGAAAUUUUAAAUUCCUUCGACGCUCGCGAGGUGCCGCUAAUCGAUCCCGAACUAGACGGGGCGUUAUGGUUCGGGGUUAACGAUAAAGAUUUGAGGAAAAAAUUUACAGCAAUAAUAACGUCAAAUUUUCCUCAACUCUACUACUGUUGGACGGUGGUACCGGACAACAUCAAACGUUCUUGGUGGCAUUCGUUCAUCCAAUCUUUUCGGUGGAAAAAAAAGUACACCGAUAAAGUUUACAAAGAGUUCAACCAGCUGGGUAUGCAGCGGUUGAAACAAAUGAUGAACAAUGCCAAACGUCGUCAUCAGCUGCAUGGACUGCCACCGGAAUGGGCAACAGAUGACUUGUACCAGCAGCUUCUUUCGCAUUGGAACUCAGACCAUUUCAAGAACAAGAGUUCCAAGGC